CAGUCGCCGCGGUAAUACAGAGGGUGCGAGCGUUAAUCGGAUUUACUGGGCGUAAAGCGUGCGUAGGCGGCUUCUUAAGUCGGAUGUGAAAUCCCUGAGCUUAACUUAGGAAUUGCAUUCGAUACUGGGAAGCUAGAGUAUGGGAGAGGAUGGUAGAAUUCCAGGUGUAGCGGUGAAAUGCGUAGAGAUCUGGAGGAAUACCGAUGGCGAAGGCAGCCAUCUGGCCUAAUACUGACGCUUAGGUACGAAAGCAUGGGGAGCAAACAGGAUUAGAUACCCCCGUAGUCCCUGUCUCUUAUAC
rnacentral:rRNA from 1 species